rnacentral:rRNA from 1 species
CCUACGGGUGGCAGCAGUGAGGAAUAUUGGUCAAUGGGCGUAAGCCUGAACCAGCCAAGUCGCGUGAGGGAAUAAGGCCCUACGGGUUGUAAACCUCUUUUGCCGGGGAGCAAGGGCGGCUACGUGUCACGGCACCGAGAGUACCCGGAGAAAAAGCAUCGGCUAACUCCGUGUCAGCAGCCGCGGUAAUACGGGGGAUGCGAGCGUUAUCCGGAUUUAUUGGGUUUAAAGGGUGCGUAGGCGGUCUUUGAAGUCAGCGGUAAAAAUUCGGGGCUCAACCCCGUCCGGCCGUUGAAACUGGCGGUCUUGAGUGGGCGAGAAGCAGGCGGAAUGCGUGGUGUAGCGGUGAAAUGCAUAGAUAUCACGCAGAACCCCGAUUGCGAAGGCAGCCUUCCGGCGCCCUACUGACGCUGAGGCACGAAAGUGUGGGGAUCGAACAGGAUUAGAUACCCGGGUAGUC